rnacentral:misc_RNA from 1 species
UCUCCGUAGGUGAACCUGCGGAGGGAUCAUUACUGAGUGAGGGCUCCGGCCCGACCUCCAACCCCAUGUGAACCGAAACCUGUUGCUUCGGGGGCGACCCUGCCGUUCGGCGCGGCGCCCCCGGAGGCUCAUCAAACACUGCAUCUUUGCGUCGGAGUCUUAAUGAAUUUAAACAAAACUUUUAACAACGGAUCUCUUGGUUCUGGCAUCGAUGAAGAACGCAGC